rnacentral:tmRNA from 1 species
UAAGGAAGUUGUUGGUUUGUUUCGUUCCGGCAAUUUCCCGACAAGCAAUUCGGAAAUAAGCAUGUAGAAAGCUUUUGAAUGUCAUGUUUGGACACGGGUUCGACUCCCGUCACCUCCACCU